AGAAAGAAGAGGGUUCCACAAGUGCAUUGAUUGGCCCAUACCAAGUGAAUGCUGAAGAUAUAAAAUCUUUGGACGGCUCAAAUUGGAUAACCGACCAGGUUGUAAAUUCCUAUUUGUAUAUGAUACAGUCAUAUACAAACGACACAGCAUUCAUGGAUUCCUUUUGGGUUCCACAUUGUAUAAAAAAAGGGGGUUAUGCAGGUCAGAAAAGUAAACAAUUUGGAACACAAACGUGUGUUGCUAAUCCCUGUACACAAACCUGCACAUUGGGGACUAGUGAUUGUGUACAUCCAAGAGGGAUACUUCGUUGUUGUUGAUACACUUAAAGCAUUUGGGAAGGAAGUAGCCACAAUCGUUAG